rnacentral:rRNA from 1 species
AGAACGAACGCUGGCGGCAUGCCUAACACAUGCAAGUCGAACGAACCCUUCGGGGUUAGUGGCGCACGGGUGCGUAACGCGUGGGAACCUACCAUCAGGUUCGGAAUAACAGUUAGAAAUGACUGCUAAUACCGGAUAAUGUCUUCGGACCAAAGAUUUAUCGCCUUUUGAUGGGCCCGCGUUGGAUUAGCUAGUUGGUAAGGUAAAAGCUUACCAAGGCGACGAUCCAUAGCUGGUCUGAGAGGAUGAGUCAGCCACACUGGGACUGAGACACGGCCCAGACUCCUACGGGAGGCAGCAGUGGGGAAUAUUGGACAAUGGGCGAAAGCCUGAUCCAGCAAUGCCGCGUGAGUGAUGAAGGUCCUUAGGGUUGUAAAGUCUCUUUACUGGGAUGAUAUGACAGUACCCAGAGAAUAACG